rnacentral:ncRNA from 1 species
ACCCGACAAAUGAAAAGGGAAUCGGGUGCAAAUCCCGAACAGGCCCGCUGCUGUGAAUCCUUUCACAAGACCUUGCCCACACCACAAAAAAGCCACUGGUUCGACACAGAACCGGGAAGGAAGCAAGGUUGGAUAAGUCAGAAGACCUGCCUGAAGAUAUUG